GCCGACGGCUCCGGGGCAGCUGACGCUGACGAUUUGGGCCGGCAGACGCAGCCGCUCUCGACGAGGACGUAGUCCUGGCCAGUCAGCGUGACGGGUCCCAGCGGGAUGACGAGGAACAGUGUCGGCGGCAACUUACUCGCACACUUCGAAGACCACCUGCUGCAGCAAGUCGGGGAACUUCUGGACGAUGGUCACGGGCUGACCGGAGGUGAGCGACACGCCGUACAUGGGCGCCGUCGUGUUGUACCUCGUCUUGCACAGCCGGGUGGGUGCCGUCGUCGGGCAGGCGUCCCUCUGCGAGUAGCCGCUGCGCGCUGCGUCGGCACAAUCGGGGGCGGCACUAGAGCGUCACGAGGACUCACCUGUCCGGGCAGAGUGCUCCAUCUCGGCCUGCUUGUUGGUGAUCUCGUACUGGCGCAGCAGCGCCUGCUGGGUGACGCGCGGGUCCAGGGUGGUGGGCGCCGCGGACGCCCUACCCGUGCGCGCGGACACACCCUGCGCCCACAGGCCCGCACUCCACGACCCGCUGUUGCCGCGACCCCAAGACCGCGCGAUCGCUGCACUAUGGACAAGGAAGAUCUAAUUGUUUAUUUUUGCAACCCUAUAGUAAUGGUCGAAUAUAGAGUAAAAUGGA